GGACUACCCGGGUUUCUAAUCCUGUUUGCUCCCCACGCUUUCGCGCCUCAGCGUCAGUUUCGAGCCAGUAAGCCGCCUUCGCCACUGGUGUUCUUGCGAAUAUCUACGAAUUUCACCUCUACACUCGCAGUUCCACUUACCUCUCUCGAACUCAAGACAAACAGUAUCAAAGGCAGUUCCAAGGUUGAGCCUUGGGAUUUCACCCCUGACUUAUUCGCCCGCCUACGCGCCCUUUACGCCCAGUAAAUCCGAACAACGCUAGCCCCCUUCGUAUUACCGCGGCUGCUGGCAC
rnacentral:rRNA from 1 species